rnacentral:rRNA from 1 species
AGCUUGCUCCUUUGACGUUAGCGGCGGACGGGUGAGUACCACGUGGGUAACCUACCUAUAAGACUGGGAUAACUUCGGGAAACCGGAGCUAAUACCGGAUAACAUUUGGAACCGCAUGGUUCUAAAGUGAAAGAUGGUUUUGCUAUCGCUUAUAGAUGGACCCGCGCCGUAUUAGCUAGUUGGUAAGGUAACGGCUUACCAAGGCACCGAUACGUAGCCGACCUGAGAGGGUGAUCGGCCACACUGGAACUGAGACACGGUCCAGACUCCUACGGGAGGCAGCAGUAGGGAAUCUUCCGCAAUGGGCGAAAGCCUGACGGAGCAACGCCGCGUGAGUGAAGAAGGCCUUCGGGUUGUAAAGCUCUUUCAGCCGGAAAGAAAAGGUUCCAGAUAAUCCUGGAGCUGAUGACGGUACCGGAAGA